UCGUAACAAGGUCUCCGUUGGUGAACCAGCGGAGGGAUCAUUACCGAGUUUACAACUCCCAAACCCAAUGUGAACGUUACCAAACUGUUGCCUCGGCGGGGUCACGCCCCGGGUGCGUAAAAGCCCCGGAACCAGGCGCCCGCCGGAGGAACCAACCAAACUCUUUCUGUAGUCCCCUCGCGGACGUAUUUCUUACAGCUCUGAGCAAAAAUUCAAAAUGAAUCAAAACUUUCAACAACGGAUCUCUUGGUUCUGGCAUCGAUGAAGAACGCAGCGAAAUGCGAUAAGUAAUGUGAAUUGCAGAAUUCAGUGAAUCAUCGAAUCUUUGAACGCACAUUGCGCCCGCCAGUAUUCUGGCGGGCAUGCCUGUCCGAGCGUCAUUUCAACCCUCGAACCCCUCCGGGGGGUCGGCGUUGGGGAUCGGGACCCCUCACCGGGUGCCGGCCCUGAAAUACAGUGGCGGUCUCGCCGCAGCCUCUCCUGCGCAGUAGUUUGCACAACUCGCACCGGGAGCGCGGCGCGUCCACGUCCGUAAAACACCCAACUUCUGAAAUGUUGACCUCGGAUCAGGUAGGAAUACCCGCUGAACUUAAGCAUAUCAAUAA
rnacentral:misc_RNA from 1 species